rnacentral:rRNA from 1 species
UGUGGUUUAAUUCGAAGCAACGCGAAGAACCUUUACCAGGUCUUGACAUACCGGGCAAAGCCUCAGAGAUGAGGAAAUAGUUAUGCCGGAUACAGGUGGUGCAUGGUUGUCGUCAGCUCGUGUCGUGAGAUGUUGGGUUAAGUCCCGCAACGAGCGCAACCCUUGUCUUCAGUUACCAUCAUUCAGUUGGGGACUCUGGAGAGACUGCCGGUGACAAACCGGAGGAAGGUGGGGAUGACGUCAAAUCAUCAUGCCCCUUAUGACCUGGGCUACACACGUACUACAAUGGCGUAUACAACGGGAAGCGAAAUGGUGACAUGGAGCAAAUCUCACAAAGUACGUCUCAGUUCGGAUUGAAGUCUGCAACUCGACUUCAUGAAGUCGGAAUCGCUAGUAAUCGCGGAUCAGCAUGCCGCGGUGAAUACGUUCUCGGGCCUU